rnacentral:rRNA from 1 species
AUUGAACGCUGGCGGCAGGCCUAACACAUGCAAGUCGAGCGGAUGAAGGGAGCUUGCUCCUGGAUUCAGCGGCGGACGGGUGAGUAAUGCCUAGGAAUCUGCCUGGUAGUGGGGGGUAACGUCCGGAAACGGGCGCGGAUACCGCAUACGACGAGAGGGAGAAAGAGGGGGAGCUUCGGAAAUUACGCUAUCAGAUGAGCGUAGGUCGGAUUAGCUAGUUGGUGGGGUAAAGGCCUACCAAGGCGACGAUCCGUAACUGGUCUGAGAGGCUGAUCAGUCACACUGGAACUGAGACACGGUCCAGACUCCUACGGGAGGCAGCAGUGGCGAAUAUUGGACAAUGGGCGAAAGCCUGAUCCAGCCAUGCCGCGUGUGUGAAGAAGGUCUUCGGAUUGUAAAGCACUUUAAGUUGGGAGGAAGGGCAUUAAGUUAAUACCUUGCUGUUUUGACGUUACCAACAGAAUAAGCACCGGCUAACUUCGUG